CCUACGGGGGGCAGCAGUGGGGAAUAUUGCACAAUGGGGGAAACCCUGAUGCAGCGACGCCGCGUGAGUGAAGAAGUAUUUCGGUACGUAAAGCUCUAUCAGCAGGGAAGAAAAUGACGGUACCUGACUAAGAAGCCCCGGCUAACUACGUGCCAGCAGCCGCGGUAAUACGUAGGGGGCAAGCGUUAUCCGGAUUUACUGGGUGGAAAGGGAGCGUAGACGGCAGCGCAAGUCUGGAGUGAAAUCCAAUGGCUUAACCAUGGAACUGCUUUGGAAACUGUGCAGCUGGAGUGCAGGAGAGGUAAGCGGAAUUCCUAGUGUAGCGGUGAAAUGCGUAGAUAUUAGGAGGAACACCAGUGGCGAAGGCGGCUUACUGGACUGUAACUGACGUUGAGGCUCGAAAGCGUGGGGAGCAAACAGGAUUAGAUACCCGUGUAGUC
rnacentral:rRNA from 1 species